CGUUAUCGGAUUACUGGGCKUAAAGCGUGCGCAGGCGGUUGUGCAAGUACCGAUGUGAAAUCCCCGAGCUUAACUUKGGAAUUGCMUUGGUGACUGCACGGCUAGAGUGUGUCAGAGGGRGGURGAAUUCCACGUGUAGCGKUGAAAUGCGUAGAGAUGUGGAGGAAUACCGUUGGCRAAGGCGGYCUCCUGGGMUWWCACUGACCCUCAUGCACGAAAGCUGGGGGAGCAAACAGGAUUAGAUACCCUGGUAGUCCACGGCCCUAAACGAUGUCAACUAGWUGUUGGGGAUUCAUUUCCUUAGUAACGUAGCUAACGCUUGAAG
rnacentral:rRNA from 1 species